GGCCCGACCCUUGCUGAGCCAGGGACGCUGGUAGUCAACGGCGAUUACCCGAAUCACGACAAAGGCGUCGC
rfam:Pseudomonas knackmussii B13 complete genome